UCUGUUGAUUUCCUUUCCCAGAAUCCGAGUGCUUCGUUUAAAUCAUAAGAAGGAUAUGAGACUAACCUGUUAAUCUCAUCAAGAAGAUACAAUGUCGGACUGAUGGUGCUGCCUUUUCAAACGAACACCCUCUAUGGUAUCCACACGAACGUCUUCUAUCCUUCUAGAGUGCUAGCUCUCUCAAGGAUGGAUAAAUUAUGUGCUCCACAAUCUGCAGCGGUUAGACUGAAUUUUCUAAAAACUGUCGUCUUCACUUUCUUCGUAGAAAGAGUAUUUAUAUAUUUCAGUCUUUUUGUUUUCCCACAACUCUUUUCCUAAAAGAGUUGUACUACUCUUUUCCCAAAAGAGUUGUGUUCAGAACCCACUAUCACAAUCUCGCAGAUACUCAAAUAUCUUUAUGUGAUAGAGUCCUUUAUCUGUAACAGUUACAGAUAGACUGCAGAUCUUUUAAAUAUUAUUAUCUUAUAAUAAUAAAUAAUUAAUAAUAAUAACACUUUAUUAUUAUUAAUUAUACUAAUGGGCUUUUAGCCCAUUAAUAUAGCACAUCAACAACGUUCUUGUGUGUGACCCAAUAGGCUCACAUUAAUUGGCAAUAGGCCCAGUCCAACAAGGCCUAUAAGUCAUAAGUGGCCUCUAGCAAGACAUUAUGACUACCCAACUAAUAUGAGGAUCAAUAGUCCGAUAAAGCCUAUUAAAUAGAACAUGUAUUAAUCCCUUUGUCACACGAUAUCUAGUUUGAACAUAAGUCAUGGUUAAUAUCAAACUUAUAAUGUUCAAACUUAUGAUUUCUCGAUCUCUAAGUAGACUAAUAAAUUCAAAUGAUAUUGUUCACACUAUCAAUUUAUUUGAGCAAGGCCAUGCAUUUCUCAGUCUCACUUAUCGAGGGGCCCAGAAGAUAUCUCUCUCAUAGAGAGGGACAAAUCCUAUCUUGAUUGUUCAUUAUCCUCUACAUAAUUUCUAUUAUGUUCAAUCAUAACAUUUAUGAUUUUCCGAUUAAAGACAACGUUUUGUUAUGUCAAAACAAAAUAGUCCUUAUGUUGGAAACUAUGACAAUCUCAAGUCAAAGAAUUAAGACAUAACUACUUUGAGAUUCACUUAUGAUAAUGACCCAUGUAGUGAUCUCAGUGCGGGUCCAUCCAAUACUUUGUUCUCCAACAAGUAUUUAUGAUUAUUGAAUUAUAUCAACAUAUACAUAAUCAUCUCAUGAUUAUCAAUCAAUAACCAUACCAGUUAUAUUUUAUUAUUAUCAACAUAAUAAUAAGUAACCAGGGAUGAUAAUCAUUAUUAUGUAACAUGCAAACAAAUAAUAAUGAUAAAAACCUCUUUUAUUAAUAACCAAAACGACAUACAAAAAAGUCCAAGAUAAUGGCCUAGGGUACAUACACUAACAAUCUCCCACUUGCACUAGGCCUAAGUAUCUAAUACCCAUAGACCUAGUGUGCUGAUCAUGCUUGAUCUGUGAAAGAGGCUUGGUCAGUGGAUUUGCAAUGUUGUCAUUUGAGUCUACUUUGCAUAUUUUGGUAUCUCUUCUGAAUAAGGUGAUAUCGCCUGAGUAUAUGUUUAGAUCUCUGGUGAGAUCUGGGCUCCUUUGCCUGUGCUAUGGCACCGUUAUUAUCACAAUAAAGGUCCAUAGGUUUUGCAAUGCUGGGAACCAUUCCUAACUCUGAGAUGAAUUCCUUCAACCAGACUGCCUUUUUAGCUGCAUCUGAUGCUGCUAUAUACUCAGCUUCUAUUGUAGAAUCUGCUAUAGUGCUCUGUUUGGAACUUCUUCCAACUAACAGUUCCACCAUUUAAAGUGAAUACGAAUCCUGACUGCAAUCUGAAGUCAUCUAUGUCGGUUUGGAAACUAGCAUCUGUGUAACCAUUUACAACUAGCUUGUCUUCCAAACCUCCAUAAACCAGGAAUGCAUCCUUAGUCCUUCUAAGGUAUUUUAGGAUAUCCUUAACAGCUGUCCAGUGACUUUCACCGGGAUCUGCCUGAUAUCUGCUUGUUGUGCUCAAGGCAUUUCAGACGUCUGGCCUAGUACAUAACAUGGCAUACAUGAUAGAUCCAAUAGCAGAAGCAUAAGGGAUCUUAUUCAUCCGUUCUCGCUCAUCAGAUGUCAUAGGACAUUGAUUCUUGCUAAGAUGAAUACCAUGAGACAUGGGCAAGAAUCUUCUUUUGGAAUCUUGCAUGCUGAACCUUUUCAGCACCUUGUCAAUAUAAGUACUUUAACUCAGACUAAUUAUCCUCUAGGAUCUAUCCCUAUAGAUCUUAAUACCAAGGAUAUAUGCAGCCUCACCUAAGCCCUUCAUUGAAAAAGAAUUCCCUAACCAAGUCUUAACCUUUUGCAAGGUAGGGAUAUCAUUUCCAAUGAGUAAUAUGUCAUCCACAUAUAGGACUAGAAACACAACUGCACUCCCACUAACCAUCUUGUAAACACAAGGUUCAUCUUCAUCAAUGAGCAAAAGUUCACGAUUAUCAGUCAUGAGAAAUCCAUAUCUCUCAGGCUGAUGACGUGUCCUAUCAGAUCUGCGUGGGACUUGUGUCACUCUUUCAGUCUCCACAACUGUUUGUGGUUCUGGAAGUGGUUCUACCGGCGGUUCAAUGCUCUCUUAUGGUGCUUGAGUUUCCUCAAGUCGCACUGUACUCCCACUGAAUCUCUGAGAGAUGAAUUCCUUUUCUAAAAAGGUACCAUUUCGAGCAACAAACACUUUGUUCUUUGAGGGAAUAUAGAAAUAGUAUCCUUUGAUUUCCUUAGGAUACCCCACAAAAUUGCACUUGAUAGAUUUUGGAGCUAGAUUAUUUGAGCGUUUCACAUAAGCUUCACAACCCCAAAUCUUAAGGAAAGACAAACUGGGCAUUUUUCCAGUCCAUAACUCAUAUGGUGUCUUUUCAACCGCUUUCGAUGGUACUCGGUUUAGAAUGAAUGUAGCUGAUUCCAAGGCAUAACCCCAAAACGAUAAAGGGAGGUUUGUCUGACUCAUCAUAAAUCGAACCAUAUCUAAUAAAGUUUGAUUUCUCCUUUCAGAAACACCAUUCUAUUGUGGAGUUCCUAGAGGAGUCAAUUGUGAAAUAAUUCCACAGUUUCUAAGAUGUUCAUCAAACUAUUGGCUCAAAUAUUCACCAUCUCGAUCAGAUCGAAGCACUUUAAUAGGUAAAAUUGUUGAUGUUGGGAAAUCCCGAGAUUAUUGCAACCCAGUUGCGCAGCGGAAAAAUAAAAUCUAUGUUGAUUUCCUUUCCCAGAAUCCGAGUGCUUCGUUUAAAUCAUAAGAAGGAUAUGAGACUAACAUGUUAAUCUCAUCAAGAAGAUACAAUGCCGGACUGAUGGUGCUGCCUUUUCAAACGAACACCCUCUAUGGUAUCCACACGAACGUCUUCUAUCCUUCUAGAGUGCUAGCUCUCUCAAGGAUGGAUAGAUUAUGUGCUCCAC
rnacentral:lncRNA from 1 species